rnacentral:lncRNA from 10 species
GGCCUGAUGUCUUUGCCUCCUAAUGCCGGGGGUCUUGCUGGCUGGGUCAGGCCACUCACAGGAAUGGGCCAUAAUCCUUGGUUGACAAUAAAUGGACAAAGCAGCUGGGUGCGGUGGCUCAUGCCUGUAAUCCCAACACUUUGGGAGGCCAAGGUGGGUGGAUCACGAGGUCAGGAGUUCGAGACCAGCCUAGCCAACAUAGUGAAACCCCGUCUCAACUAAAAACACAAAAAAUUAGCUGAGCGUGGUGCGGGCACCUGUAAUCUCAGCUACUCGGGAGGCUGAGGCAGAAGAAUCGCUUGAACUCAGGAGGCAGAGGUUGCAGUGAUGAGAGAAUGUGCCACUGCACUCCAG